rnacentral:rRNA from 1 species
GUUUCAGCAGCCGCGGUAAUACGUAGGUGGCGAGCGUUGUCCGGAUUUACUGGGCGUAAAGAGCGCGCAGGCGGUCGUAUGAGUCGCGUGUGAAAGCCCCCGGCUCAACUGGGGAGGGUCACGCGAUACUGUUCGACUUGAAGGCAGGAGAGGGAAGCGGAAUUCCCGGUGUAGUGGUGAAAUGCGUAGAUAUCGGGAGGAACACCAGUGGCGAAGGCGGCUUCCUGGCCUGUUCUUGACGCUGAGGCGCGAAAGCUAGGGUAGCAAACGGGAUUAGAAACCCCAGUAGUCC